rnacentral:snoRNA from 1 species
AAGUUGUGAUGCAGGCAUUAAUCAAAUAAACCUUGAAUCUCUUCGAAGCAUCAUGGAAUGAUUCUCCUUCCUUCUAAGUAAAAUUGCAGAUCCUAAACCU